rnacentral:misc_RNA from 1 species
GAUGAAGAACGCAGCAAAAUGCGAUAAGUAAUGUGAAUUGCAGAAUUCAGUGAAUCAUCGAAUCUUUGAACGCACAUUGCACCCGCCAGUAUUCUGGCGGGCAUGCCUGUUCGAGCGUCAUUUCAACCCUCAAGCACAGCUUGGUGUUGGGACUCGCGUUAAUUCGCGUUCCCCAAAUUGAUUGGCGGUCACGUCGAGCUUCCAUAGCGUAGUAGUAAAACCCUCGUUACUGGUAAUCGUCGCGGCCACGCCGUUAAACCCCAACUUCUGAAUGUUGACCUCGGAUCAGGUAGGAAUACCCGCUGAACUUAAGCAUAUCAAUAAGCGGAGGA